UUGUGUAAUUUGGUAGGUCUUGCAGGUGAGUAAAGUUUGUAGCCUUAAUAGUUUCCGUCAUUGAAAUUCAAUUUUUCAACCAUUUUUCCGGCAACGGCUACGUUUUCCAGUGAAAUCAACGUCUCGUAUACGAUUUAUUAUUCAUUAUCGGUCGCUGUAGAAAUAACAUCCAACAUAUCGCAGGAAAAAAUCCACCGGACAUCAGAGCCUUUGAUCAACUGCUGCUACCAAACAAUGCUCCUCAGUGUCCACGUUGCUAUUCAACAUUUCACUAGGCAUGUCAUCAUUUAAUAUGAUGUGAAAAUAAAAUAAAAUUCCAUGAAACUA